rnacentral:rRNA from 1 species
GGAGGCGACAGUGGGGAAUAUUGGACAAUGGGGGUAACCCUGAUCCAGCGACGCCGCGUGUGUGAAGAAGGCCUGCGGGUUGUAAAGCACUUUUAGUGGGGAUGAAAAGCUCAGGGCUAAUACCUCUGGGUCUUGACCUAACCCACAGAAAAAGCACCGGCUAACUCUGUGCCAGCAGCCGCGGUAAA